GGAAGCUGAGGACAGCGCACACUGACAGCCCUGCUGGGUUGACAUCACUGUCCCGUGUCCUCAUCUCCCAAGGGCAAGCUGGAGGUCAGAGAGGUGCGUUGACUUAUCCCAGGCCCAGCACUGGCUCCAGAACUCAGUCCCCCUGGCCCAGACCAUGCUCCUCCCCCACACCACCCCACAGCCAACCAGAGAAGCGCAUGUGGCCCCAAGGAAGAGUGAAUGAGCAGAAGGGCACAGUCAGGGACUUCAGGUUACACAAGAGGCCAGAACCAGGGCAGGAAGGAGGCUGGGUAGGGGAUCAUCAAAGGUGCCUGGGCAGAGGAGAAACAAGACGCAUCCCUCCAAUGUGUGCGUGUCACUUGGUGAGGAAGAAAGUAAGGACAAGGCCAGUUAAUACUUAACCUGCACUAACCCACUUAAUCUUCAGAGAAUGAUGGGGAUCAGGGAGGCCGGGAGUCCCACAGGGCCACCCAACAGGACAAAGGAGAUCCAUCCUUAUGACUGGGAACGACGUCAAUGAUAUCAGUGCAAAAUGCCAGGUGCAAGGCAUCAUAGGCUGCAAGCGCAGGGCUGAGUGCAGGGGGAGAGGGGACAGGUGGAGCAUCCCUUGGAUACUCUCCCAGGUGGACAACCCCCAAUGGUUAACAAGGAAAAAACAAGGGAAGAGGGAAAAGAGAAAGAAAUCAGGACAUGGAGCAUCAAAAGAGCCAGGCUCGCUGCCUGCCCAGAGCUCAUUGAGGAAUAGCUGGUCUCCAAGAAGUCACAGCAACUACAGAACCAAACAAAUACUCAUCAGUCUCCUUUCCUGCUGUCACUCAACCACCAGAUGCAAACUGGGGACAAGAUACUGGAGGCCAAGCUGUAGCAGUGCUCCUGAAGAAGGCAGCUGGGGCAGCCCAUAGCCCGAUGGGGGACUGGAACCAGAAAGCAGGUGCUAGAGCCAUCCCUAGAGUCCAAAUGCCCAGAAACCCUGAGGAUGGCACCAACAACACACAAGCAGUAAGGCAGCAAAGGCCCACAGUCCUCCCCAGUAGUGUCCAUUUACCCAGAGGGCUGCUCGGCUCCUGUACCAGGUACCUUGAUGUUUCCCGAUAGAGCAACCUUCCACAAAGGCUCGUCUGUCCGUCUGUGGCCCAUGAAAGCAGUUCUGCCACGGGCCACAGCCAGCAGGGAAUAGAACACAGACUAGGCUUCUCCACCACUGACAACCAUCAUGUCACCCCUUCAGGGCUCAUACAGCCCCGGCCCCCACCGACCUCACUGGUGCUCCAGUCCCACUGGCCUGUUCACUGCUCCUCACUGCAAGCUCCAAAGGGCCUCAUCUUGUUUCAUGAUCUUUCUGCAACUUCUGGCAUUCAGCUCUCAAUUCAGUU